GUUUAUGCAAAAAGUUUAAUUUUAUUUAAUCAAAAUUUACCAUUUAAACUUUUAUGAUUUUCUCUAUCCCUUAUUUGGUCAUUAACUGUUCCAGAAAGGGCCAUAAAAAAACCUGUCAUCUCCAUUCUAGUCUGGUGAAUAUAUAUUUUUUUAAAAUAUGCAACUUAAUAAACGCUUAGUAGAAUGGUAUUUUAUUCUGUAUAGUAGAACAAGUAAAAAAAAAGAGAAUUAUGCGUGAAAUUGUGGAUCUCUUUUAUGUCAAGCCUGAUUUUUUCUUUAAAGAUAUAAGAUCAAUCCAUAGCUUUCAAAACUGUCCUAUUUAUGCUUCUUUCUGACCUUCCUUUUGUUUUCUCUUCAUUAAAAAAAAGGUGCCCUUUUUUUUUCUUUUUCCAUUCACUAUCUUAUCUUUAUUCCCCACAUACCUGCCUUCUCCCCUGCCCUUUUGGGGAAAAGAAAAACAAAACCCUUAUAACAAAUACACAGGAUUAAACAAAACAAAUUCCAGCAUUUGGUAUAUGUAUGUGUGUAUACAUACAUACAUACACACACAUACAUGUAUACAUAUAUGUAUGCAUGCACAUACAUAUAUGUAUACGUACAUACAUACAUACAAAUGUUCUGAGCAUGUGGUUCUAAAGGAGCUGUGGGUUUGAUCCACUUCCCACAAAAAGUCAGGAAAUGAAUGACUCCUAGAGAAAUGAAAUUGUCAUUUCUACUUUGGUGUUCCUUCUCCUUUAGGCUGUCCUACUGUAAUCUGAUUGCUGCUUAUCUUCAGGAUCUCCUUUCUGUCAUCUGUAGCAGUGAGAACCUAAAAACCUUGGACCUAAGCUAUAAUUUAUUUGGUGAUGAAGGAAUGAAGCUGCUGUGUGAGGCCUUGGAAAAGCAGGAUUGUAACCUACAGACACUAUCUGAUGAAUUACAAACUCUCUAUUGGUUAUUGUCAAUAUCUUUCCUCCACUUUGAUGAAGAAUAG
rnacentral:lncRNA from 1 species